AACGCACCUUGCGCUCCUUGGUAUUCCGAGGAGCAUGCCUGUUUGAGUGUCGUGAAAUUCUCAACCUGCCGUACUUUUUACAAGUCCGUCAGGCUUGGAUUAUGGGACUUGCUGGUUUCUUCUGAAAUCAGCUCUCCUUAAAUGUAUUAGCACAAUCUCUGCUGACCAUCUUUGGUAUGAUAAUUAUCUAUACCAUUGAGAAUCAGUUUUCCGCCUUGGAAGGAUUUUGCUUCUAAUCGUCUUCGCAGACAACUUGACAAUUUGACCUCAAAUCAGGUAGGACUACCCGCUGAACUUAA
rnacentral:misc_RNA from 1 species